UGGGGAGCAAACAGGAUUAGAUACCUGGUAGUCACGCUGUAAACGAUGUCGAUUUGGAGUUUGUUGCCUAGAGUGAUGGGCUCCGAAGCUAACGCGAUAAAUCGACCGCUGGGGAGUACGGCCGCAAGGUUAAAACUCAAAUGAAUUGACGGGGGCCCGCACAAGCGGUGGAGCAUGUGGUUUAAUUCGAUGCAACGCGAAGAACCUUACCUGGUCUUGACAUCCAUAGAAUUCUGCAGAGAUGUGGGAGUGCCUUCGGGAACUAUGAGACAGGUGCUGCAUGGCUGUCGUCAGCUCGUGUUGUGAAAUGUUGGGUUAAGUCCCGCAACGAGCGCAACCCUUAUUCUUUGUUGCCAGCGAUUUGGUCGGGAACUCAAAGGAGACUGCCGUUGAUAAAGCGGAGGAAGGUGGGGACGACGUCAAGUCAUCAUGGCCCUUACGACCAGGGCUACACACGUGCUACAAUGGCGUAUACAAAGGGGAGCGAAGGUGCGAGCUGGAGCGGAUCUCAUAAAGUACGUCUAAGUUCGGAUUGGAGUCUGCAACUCGACUCCAUGAAGUCGGAAUCGCUAGUAAUCGUAGAUCAGAAUGCUACGGUGAAUACGUUCCCGGGCCUUGUACACACCGCCCGUCACACCAUGGGAGUGGGUUGCACCAGAAGUAGAUAGCUUAACCGCGAGGGGGGCGUUUACCACGGUGUGAUUCAUGACUGGGGUGAAGUCGUAACAAGGUAACCA
rnacentral:rRNA from 1 species